GACGAACGCUGGCGGCGUGCUUAACACAUGCAAGUCGAGCGGAAAGGCCCUGCUUUUUUGGUGUGCUCGAGUCGCGAACGGGUGAAUAACACGUGAGUCACCUUCCCUUGGCUUGACGAUAACUUCAGAAAACUGCGGCUAAUACCUGCGACGUGCUCCUGCUGCCUGGUGGGGGUUGGACAGUUUCGGCGGUUGUGGAUGUACUCGCGGCUAAUCAGCUUGUUGGGGGGGUAGUGGCUUACCAAGGCUUUGACGGGUAGCCGGCCUGAGAGGGUGACCGGCCACAUUGGGACUGAGGUACGGCCCAGAGUCAUAAGGGAGGCAUCAGUGGAGAAUAGUGCAAACUGGGCGGAAGCCUUAUGCAGCAACGCCGCGUGGGGGAUGACGGCCAUCGGGUUGUAGACCGCUUUCGUCAGUGAUGAAGCGUGAGUGACGGUACUGGGUAAAGAAGCACCGGCUAACUCCGUG
rnacentral:rRNA from 1 species